UCCCAUGUGGCUCAGUUGGUAGAGCGUGGUGCUUUCAACACCAGGGUUGUGGGUUUGAUACCCACGGGGGAC
rfam:Salmo salar isolate Sally breed double haploid chromosome ssa29, whole genome shotgun sequence.